GACGUAGGCGCAAGCGUUGUCCGGAAUUAUUGGGCGUAAAGAGCUCGUAGGCGGCCUGUUGCGUCCGCUGUGAAAUCCCGGGGCUCAACCCCGGGCCUGCAGUGGAUACGGGCUGGCUAGAGGCAGGCAGGGGAGAACGGAAUUCCUGGUGUAGCGGUGAAAUGCGCAGAUAUCAGGAGGAACACCGGUGGCGAAGGCGGUUCUCUGGGCCUGUACUGACGCUGAGGAGCGAAGCGUGGGAGCGAACAGG
rnacentral:rRNA from 1 species